GCCAAGGUAGCUCAGUCGGCAGAGCAACGCAUUCGUAACGCGUAGGUCAUGGGUUCGAUUCCCAUUCUUGGCU
rnacentral:tRNA from 1 species